AAUUAACACUAAGAAUCAGAAUAUAACUAAACAUAUCAAACACCGGAACACAGAAAGACAACAAAACUAACCAGAAGGAAUCUAAAGAACCAGAAAUGAACAGAAAAGCACCUGGCAGAGCCAAGAAGGACAACAAGGUGCUGUCAGUUGGCAGACAAACGUGUGUGUGUGUGGCGGUGUGUCUUUGUUGAUAGAUGGGCUGGCAGGGCAAGGCCGAGGAUAAGAGUGCAAACAAACUGGGUAAUAAAUGAGAGCGACAGAGGAGCAGUGAUGGGGCCCACUCUUAGGCUUCUGAUGCACGCCGACUGACACUGGGAGCCAUUUGUUUCAUAGAAGUGAGGAAGCUGUCGCUGGAAUGAAGACGGUGUUUGUCCUAAGGUGGAAACGGCCUCUGUUUUCUCCUUACACUUUCACCUCUGUGUCUGUUUUACCAUCUUUCUCUCUACCUUACACACACACACACACACACACACACACACACACACACACCCACAAACACAAAGAAACACAGUUGUGCUGUAGAUUUUAGCCCAGCGGGGGAGUAAUCAGGGUGAGGCAGGUUGCUAAUGAAGCCCAUAAUGAGUGCAGCCCUCAGUGACAUAUCACACACCACUUGGUCUGUUAGUGAAAGCACAAGCACAAUAGUAGAGCUGCUGGUACCACACAGACACACAAACACAGGUGUAAAUCCCAGCCUUGUUCCCACCUGGGAACAAUACCAACAAAACAAUACCAACAGAGAGAAGGAAGUGAAAGAAAAGAUGAUUACUAUAGUUGUUGCUUAUCUUUUAAUUUGUGAAUUUAAAUGACAACUAAUCAGAUUAAUUAUAAUUACUGGUGUAACACCAAAAGUCUGCCUCCUGCCCACUGAAUGUGUAUAAAUGGGUAUUGCUGUCUCCAUACACAGUGCUUUAAAAAUGUUUUGAAAAUUU